UGCAAGUCGAACGGUAACAGGAAGAAGCUUGCUUCUUUGCUGACGAGUGGCGGACGGGUGAGUAAUGUCUGGGAAACUGCCUGAUGGAGGGGGAUAACUACUGGAAACGGUAGCUAAUACCGCAUAACGUCGCAAGACCAAAGAGGGGGACCUUCGGGCCUCUUGCCAUCGGAUGUGCCCAGAUGGGAUUAGCUAGUAGGUGGGGUAACGGCUCACCUAGGCGACGAUCCCUAGCUGGUCUGAGAGGAUGACCAGCCACACUGGAACUGAGACACGGUCCAGACUCCUACGGGAGGCAGCAGUGGGGAAUAUUGCACAAUGGGCGCAAGCCUGAUGCAGCCAUGCCGCGUGUAUGAAGAAGGCCUUCGGGUUGUAAAGUACUUUCAGCGGGGAGGAAGGGAGUAAAGUUAAUACCUUUACUCAUUGACGUUACCCGCAGAAGAAGCACCGGCUAACUCCGUGCCAGCAGCCGCGGUAAUACGGAGGGUGCAAGCGUUAAUCGGAAUUACUGGGCGUAAAGCGCACGCAGGCGGUUUGUUAAGUCAGAUGUGAAAUCCCCGGGCUCAACCUGGGAACUGCAUCUGAUACUGGCAAGCUUGAGUCUCGUAGAGGGGGGUAGAAUUCCAGGUGUAGCGGUGAAAUGCGUA
rnacentral:rRNA from 1 species